UACAGAGGGUGCGAGCGUUAAUCGGAAUCACUGGGCUUAAAGGGUCCGUAGGCGGGACUGCAGGCGUCGAGUGAAAUACCACGGCUCAACCGUGGAACUGCUCGGCGAACCGCAGUUCUUGAGGCGAGUAGAGGCGAUCAGAACGAUAGGUGGAGCGGUGAAAUGCGUAGAUAUCUAUCGGAAUGCCGAAGGUGAAGACAGGUCGCUGGGCUCGUCCUGACGCUGAGGGACGAAAGCGUGGGGAGCAAACGGG
rnacentral:rRNA from 1 species